AAAUUAUUUGUUCUAACCAACACACUUUAAGAAGCAAAAUUAAUGUUAUAUGCAAAUUGGUAUUUUUCUAAUUUUACUUUUAUAUUAUGUGUCCACAAAAUAAAAUUGGUAAUUUUAUAUCUAACACAUUUUGCAAACUUUGUUUCAGCCCAAAGAUAACAGCCCAACAAGAAAUCAAUAUCAAGCUUUUAUGUACAAUAUCAAAAGAACCAAUCAAUGGUUCGGUUCUCACUGAUCAAUCCAAAGAGAAACAAAGUUUCUCUCUCCAAUCAACACCCUUUCUUUGAUAUAUAUUCAGUCAAAGCAAUAAAGAAGGAGUCAAAUGAGACUCACUUUUCCACAAUAAUGGUUCGGCCCAAAUAGAAACCCAGCCCAAUAGAAGACAAUACAAACCCUAAUAUAUAUAUAUAUAUAUGAUAUCUUCUCUAACCCUAAACUAAAGCUUCGGCAGCCAUCACUUUAUUUCAAAAAUCAAACUCUUUCAAAUAUCUUUUCUCUCUUUCUCUCUACGGCAGCAGCAAGGAAAAAAACCUAGGGUUAGGGUUUGUAUAAUUUUUCCUUCUCUUCUUCUUCUCUUCAACACAAAUGGAAGCUAGGGUUAUAGGGUUCUAAUGUGUUCUCUUAUCUUCUCCUUCUUUUCAACCGAACCUAGGGUUUCUUCAAGCUUCUCCUUUUCUCUUCAAAUGGCAGAAAUAAAAUGCUACAAACCGAGACAACAACAACCCAAAAAACUCACUCACUCAAUGUUUUACUCACUCAAAACCGAACCCCCAAAAAUCCCCUUUAACUUUCGGCCAAAACAUAUCAAACCCGAAAACUCAAGAACAUGAACACAUACACAAAUACAAAUACCAGAAAAGUAAUAAGAGUGAGAUGAGAGAAUGCAAACAGUGAUUAAGAAGAUGACACCAAAACUUUGAUCUCGGAGUUCGCCCAAACAACCGGCUACUUCUCCGUCAAGCCCUCAAAGCUUGAAUCCAUUCAUCUCAAAAUAGGAGGAGCUCACAUGGAGAUGACAACUCACAGCCAAAAGGCUCUCAUUUUCUCUGUUGUUGAAUCUCUUGUUCUCUCUGGCUGUGACUAUUUACUUUUUGUUGUAUCUCUUAUUUUGCUCUGUAUAUUAUUGCUUGUUGUAUCUGAGAAAAGCACCUCCUUUUAUAUACUGUUCUGUGAUCUGAUCUAGGGCAGAGCCCUAGUGAUAUUUGUAACUGUUUUUAGUUGUAACUGUCUUUGUAACUGUCUUGAUAUUUGUUGUAUCUGAUGUAAGGGUAUAUUUGUCAAA